rnacentral:rRNA from 1 species
UACGUAGGUGGCGAGCGUUGUCCGGAAUUACUGGGCGUAAAGGGUGCGCAGGCGGUUAUAUAAGACAGAUGUGAAAUCCCCGGGCUCAACCUGGGAACUGCGUUUGUGACUGUAUGACUAGAGUACGGUAGAGAGGGGUGGAAUUCCUGGUGUAGCAGUGAAAUGCGUAGAUAUCAGGAGGAACAUCGAUGGCGAAGGCAGCCCCUUGGACCUGUACUGACGCUCAUGCACGAAAGCGUGGG